CUCACGUGUGAUGUCACACACGUAACACUCAUGUGCGACAUCAGACACGCAACAGUAACACUCGUGUGUGACAUCACACACAUAACAGUAACACUUGUGUGUUACGUCACACACGCGACAAUAACACUCAUGUGUGACAUCACACACGUAACAGCAACACUCAUGUGUGACGUUGCACACGUAUCAGUAACACUUGUGUGUUACAUCACACAUGCGACAGUAACACUCACGUGUGACGUCACACGUAACAGUAACACUCGUGUGUGACAUCACACAUGUAACAGUAACACUUGUAUAAAUGUAUGGUACCCGCUGUAAAAAGGUGUGUGACUCACGCUGACAGCGUUGAUGUCGGAGGUGUGUCCGCUGAAAGACUGCCUGCACAUGCCGUCACGGAUGUCCCACAGCUUGGAGGAGUUGUCGCAGGCGCCGGACACAAAGGUCUUGUAGUCCGGGCUGAGGGACAAGCUCAUCACGUCCCCCGUGUGGCCACUGAAUGAUAUCGUCUGCUGGGCCGUCUCAAUGUCCCACAAUGCACUGCGGGAGGGACAGACAGACAGCUGCAAUGUUUGAUGUCUGAACUCUUUCCUCCUGGACAGGACACGUCUUUGACUAGUUUUUUUGGGUUGGUGCUCUAAUUAUCCACAGAACGGUGGUUGGGGACCACUGCUUUACUGCAUCCACAGGCAGUUCCUCCCCCCAGGGGGCAGCAGAGAGUUGCCCACUCACCAGGUGGUGUCUCCAGAGCUGCUCAGGAUCUGAUUGUCGUUCAAGAAGCGGCAGCAGGACAAAUAACCUGCAGGAAGACAAGAUUCAUCUUUGCGCUCACAACUAUGUUUAAGCCAAGUCCCCGGCGCAAAACGGACUCCGACCACCUUCGCCGUGCCCACCUGUGUGUCCGGCCAGCUCCCGGGUGAUGCGCGCGCCGCCCUCGCGGGUCCUCAGGCUGUAGAUGGAGCAGAUGUUGUCCAGGCCUCCGCACGCCACAAAGUUGCCAGAGGGGGCGUAGGCACACGUCAUCACCCACGACGAGCGCAGCGGGAUGGCCUGGAUCUGGGGAGGAAGACCAGGACUUUGCUAUGCCGGGUGUUGAAAAAAAGAAUAAGGAGGAGACCUCAGACCUUGUUGUUGGUGUGGCUGUCCCAGAUGAUCAGCUUUCCAUCCUGCGAGGCGCUGACCAGGAGCCUGCAAGACACCGAGGAGG